CAGCAUACUUAAAAAUAUAAAACCUUAAGAAAAAAAAAAAAGGGAAUAUUCACUUAAAAAAAAAAAAUACAGUUAACUAGUUUUUGCAUACAAAGAAUAAUAAAUGUUAAGACUAUUGAAGUGGCUACCAAGUAUACAUGCUACUACUAGAAUAUGUAAAGCGACAAAAUCAUACAUAAGGCCGCAGGCUGAGGCAAAGAAAAAGAAAGUCCAUGGUUUCUUUCCAGUGCAAUGGAAGACAUCAAGGCAUCCAGCUGACCAAGUUUCAGAUAAAAAAAAAAAAAUGGGAAUAAAAAAAUAAUCCUACCCCUCCCCAUAACGCAAAUUUAUCAGUCAAUGCAGGGGGCGGAUUCUAACAAAGUCUGCUUUUUUUCCAUUGGUUUGUUUUAUUACUGUAAAAUCUUUUUGUAUUACCAUACUUAGCAGUAUCUUCAAAAAUCCAUUGUUGCAAGUAUAAAAGGCGCUUAACCAUCUGUUCUUGAAAGGGUGUCUGGGAAUCCUAUUUCUCUACUUGAAAAAGGUUGAGACAGAAUUAUAGAUUAGUCUGCAAGGAGGAUAUUUAUUUAAAACAGACAAUACAUAUUCUAGUCCAUGCUGCUAGUAAAAGGUUCAUCACGCCACAGUCUCAGUUGCUUUAAGACCUACAAAAAGCCUGAUUUAGUUGGAUACAACACUAAACCUCAAAACAGAAAAUUUGUAUAUAUUGUGAAUAGAAGGCAGUUCUGGGACUGUUACCAGGUCACACUAGUGUGCCUUUUCUUUUAUAUGGAGAUAAUGCUGGUAGCUGAAGGCAAUUACCAAUCUAUAAGUUUCCCUGGGGCUGGUUGGAUGGGAUGGAGGAUACAUAGUUUACACAUGCAAGCCAGUCAGAACUCUCAUACUUCACAGUCCUGCAUUUGUUAAUUUUAAUACCAAGACCGGUCUAAACAAAAUUUAAAUUCCUGGCUAUAAGAGAAAGCAUCACAAAUCUGAGCCAUGGCAAACCUUAACUAGCAACACAGUUAAUAGUGAAAUGUGCACAGACAAAAGAAAAUAAAAAAAAAUAUAAUGAAUAAUUUCCACUAUUGGGGAUAAAGAAGAAAGGAGUGGAAAAACCAAACACCCGUGUGUGAUUCUACAACACCCUUAAGUGACCUAGAUGUUGCUACAGGUGGGCACAAACUUCCCCCAUAUUAAAAUGAAAAGACCGAGUUCAGGGCAGAUGAGCAGGAGCUUCACCUUAAUUAAAUGCAGUUAUGAAAUUACUGCAAAUUCUCAUCAGUUCUGGGGUUUCUCCUCUUAACUGAACUGUGCAGUAUUUGCAGAGGUUUCCUCAAAAGGCCUAGUCUUGCAUCAGUAAACUUAGUUUUCCUGUUGAGAUAUCAAGACAAAUUAAGAAAGAAAAAAAAAAAGAAAAAAUUUGCAUUGCAUCUUUGGGUAUUGUCCAUACAAAAAGGUUUCAUUUAUUAUUAAAAAAAAAUUAAAAAAAAACACAAACAAAAAACAAACGUCCAAUUACAGCAGAUCAAAUAAAUGGAUCAGUUUACUUUAGGGCUUUUCUUAUUGGUGCCAAUAUAAACAUCUAUGACCCAAAAUCAAGUGAUUUGGGAUCUUAGAGUACCUUUUAAGCAACUUCCUGGUUUGUUGAAAUUUUACUAAAGUAGUUCAAACGUGAUUGCAGUUUAUUAUUGUAGUGUGAUUUAAUUCAAUUAUUGUUUACAGUAUUCCCCCAAGCACAUUGGACAAACCUGGAUGGUUCCUUUAGAAACCGCUUUUUAUCUAACAAAUUAUAUAUUACUAAUCUUACAAACAAUGAAUUUUAGAAUUUUACUGUUUAAGACAAAUUGAUAUGAAUAUCUAGCAUAAAAAAAAAUAAAAAUAAAAGAUCCUUAGGAGCCACAUGGAUCAAAUACACUCUAGAACGAAUGUAUGAAGUUAUCCUUUUUUUUUCCGUUCUAGAAGAAACCAUCCCCCAAAAAAAAAACCCCCAAAAAACCAAUUAUGCAAAUACAAAGCUAAAGUCAUGAUUACAGAUAGUUUCACUUAAAGGGACACUAUCACCAGAACCACUUCAGCUUAAUAUUGUUGUUCUGGAGUCUAGCCUGUCUCUGCAGAAUUUCCAAUAUAAAACACUGCCUUUCCAGAGGAAAGACAGUGUUUACAUUGCUGGCUAGUAACACCUCUAGUGACAGCCAGAUGGCCAAUAGAGGUGCUUCCUAGUCCAGCAAUGGUGUUCAGUGUCUCCACUGUCUGCAUGGAGAUGCUGAAUGUUCUCCAUAGAAAUGCAUUGAUUCAAUGCAUUAAUGUAAGGAAAUGCUGAUUGGCGCAGUCUUGUCGCACGUGCGCAAAAAAGACUCCCAAUGCUUUCCUACUGUAAAGCACUGGAUUUGUUGAGAUCAAGACUAAUGAUCUCCCUCAUCGAGGCAGGACCAGCAGCGAAGAAAAAGACAAGUUUAAAUACCUUUUCAGAGAGACCUGAGGGUGGUGGGGGGGAUGGGUGGAGAGCUAAACAGUUUUACACUAUAGUGUUAGGAAUACAUGUUUGUAUUCCUGACACUAGUAUUCCUUUAAGCAAAAUGGAGAGCCAGCUUUUAAACAAUGUUGCUUUAGCAUGCCCAUAACAAGCCAGCACAUAGUAUGUAGAUAGUGUCUUAAACACUGCAUUUCAUAGUGCAAAAGACAUUUCCAACAAUUGACCAGACAGUCAACUGGUAAACCAUGCCUUAACACGCAUACACAUAUAAACUGACAUUAAUGGUGUCAACAAUACCUACUUUGGACAUCUGCAGCCACUAAACAUCUAUUAAUUUAAAUAAAACCACUUAACGGACAUUAUACACUACAAACAAAAUCUGUACAUUAUCAUUUACAUUCUUCAGAACAUUAUUAAUGUUCUUGAAAGAGGCAUUCCGAUAGUUUAAUCCAUAAAUAACUUUAGAUAAAAAAUAAAAGUUAAAAAGGGAAAGUUGUUGUGAUAUCUUAAUAUAAAAGUUUAAAUAUUGCAGUUUGUUAUAAGAGUACACAUAGAUAAAAUACACAUGAUAGAUCUUCAAGAAUCUUUCCGUUCAUUAUGAAUCAUACAGUUUGCAGAUUGCAAACAACACUCUUCAUUUUUUUUAAAGGAUAAGGUUAGAGAAUAAGAAUAUGUUAAACUAAAUGGCUUUAACUGAAUGAUGCACAUUACGGUAGCUGAAUGUAUGCUGUAUAGAACUGCAAAUACAAAAUAAGCAGGACAUUCCAUACUAGCAUAGUAUAUUGCAAUACUUAAGGGGGUUAAAGUCAGUAUUGGAAAAUACUUACAUUUGCUAGAACAAUGUACAGAUAUUUUUUAAGUUUGUGAAGUACCCAUAAAAAGGCUCAGUUUACUUCCACCCCCCUUAAGAAAUUAAAAAAAA
rnacentral:lncRNA from 1 species